rnacentral:misc_RNA from 1 species
AAUGAUCGCGGGCAAGCCUCGCUCCUACAGGGGCUCUCAUCUUCCGUAGGAGCGAGGCUUGCCCGCGAUCCGC